CAGGGCGGCUAUGAUGACAUAC
rnacentral:sRNA from 1 species